UACGGAGGGAGCUAGCGUUGUGCGGAAAUACUGGGCGUAAAGCGCCCGUCGGCGGCGCAGCAAGUCAGGGGUGAAAUCCCGGGGCUCAACCCCGGAACUGCCCUUGAAACUGCAGUGCUAGAAUCUUGGAGAGGCGAGUGGAAUUCCGAGUGUAGAGGUGAAAUUCGUAGAUAUUCGGAAGAACACCAGUGGCGAAGGCGACUCGCUGGACAAGUAUUGACGCUGAGGUGCGAAAGCGUGGGGAGCAAACAGG
rnacentral:rRNA from 1 species